UAACUGAUUUCUCUUCAAAGUACAUAAAUCUUUUGCUUUUUACCAAAGAUUUCAAUGGAAAGAUACAGUAACGAGUUUUUAGCCAAUUUUUGAGGCCUUAUUUCUAUGAGGC
ensembl:snRNA U5 U5 spliceosomal RNA